GGACAGCUAACAUUUGCAGUUUAUGAAAAACGAGCGUAUAAAAUUUAUUUCCCACACGAAACCGUGGGCUAGCCUUGAAAACAAAAUAUAAAAACAGGAGAAGAGUAUGUCCUCUGUCUUCUUUCAAAGUUAAUAAUCGCGUCUAAAAUUAGGGUUUUUCUUCCUUUCAAGUUUCAACAUCAAAAUCUCAGUUCUCCUUCACAGCCUUCCUCCCCUCAUAUUUCUACACUUUUAGAAUUGUUCCUUCUCCCCGUGAAUCGGAAUUUGUAAUUUCCGAAUUAGAGCAAUCGAAGGAAGAGAUAAGAGAGCGUAGGCUCGAAUAUUUUCAGAAACAAGAGAUUGAAGAUGGGUUC
rnacentral:misc_RNA from 1 species